rnacentral:rRNA from 1 species
UCUCUCUGAAUCUGCGAACGGCUCCGCAAACCAGUUGUAAAUUAUACCGAGCAUGUCCCUGACCCUGGUCGCAAGACCGGGUCUUGGAAUAUAUGGAUAACCGUGGUAAUUCUGUGGCUAAUACAUGAACGUAAAACCUGGCUGACGGGGCAACCUGAAGGCCGGGGCACGUGCGAUCUCGGUCGCAACGAUAAGGAAGGGAAUAUACGCACGUGAUGACCGCCAUAAAAAACAGUCUUGCUUGCUGGGGCCUUCGGGUCCCGCUCGCUUGUCUGGGCGGCUCUCGAGCUAUGCUUCUGACCUAUCAACUAGAAGGCAGCGUAAGGGACAUGCUUUGGUGACAACGGGUACAGAGGAUAAGGGUUCGAUCCUGGAGAGUGGGCCUGAGAGAUU